UAGAGAUCAACAGUUAUCUGUUCCUGCAUUGUCCUAUCACUAGUCAAUUGUGGCUAUUGUUCCUUAACAGUUGGGCCUCAGUUGGACAAUGCCUGCAACUAGUCUGGAGCUUCUAAAGUCCUGGAAUAACAUUGGAGGUGUAGUCAGUUAGAAGACAUGGUGGAGAGUGAUACCUGCUUGUGUAUGGUGGACAGAGAGGAACUCAAGAGUUUUUGAAGACAGAUACAAUACUCUUCAGAAUGUAAGAUGAAUAGUAUUCUUUUGUUCUAUUUUUGGUGUAAAGAAAGGCAUGUAGAGAAUACAGAGUCCCUGGUUGACAUGUUAGGUUUUUUGUAAGUCUGGGGGAUCGGUUUUGGUCUUCCCCCUUGUACAUAUGGUUUUGCACUGCCUUAGUGCCUUUUUUCUUAACAUAUUUGUACCAGUUUCAAAAAAAAGUUGAAUUAUUUUUACAUUUAGAAAUGCAUUAUUUAUUUUGGAAUAGACUAAAAAAGAAAGUAUCUCAUCUAAUUUGAAACAGAGGAAAUAUCUAUUAUCAUACUCAAAAAAUUUGAACUUAGGUCAAUGUAGCCAAGCUUACACAAGGAAAAAUAGCUAAUCCAAGUAAGAAACAAUGUCAAGAUUCGAUAGAGAUGCAUUGACUUAUAUUGUGGUUCAAUUUGUUGAAUGUGUCCUUUGUGAGCCAUUAAAUUGAGGAAGCAAGGGAGAAAUUCUAGACUCAUCAUCUCAGCAUAUGCAACUUGUUUUACUCUCCUAUUUUUCGCGUUCAAUCUUGUUGAUUAUGGAUUUGUCCUUUCACCUCCAAGAUUCGUUCUUUUCCUUUCAACAACAGGAUCAAUAAUUUGUUCAAUCAAAAAUGUAGAGAAUUCCUAGUGCUUUUUAUUUUUACUUUUUUUGGAUCAAAAUAGUAAAAAAUUAUUCAACUAAGUAGCAGUAUAUACAAGCUAGCUUAUUUGACUCUAGAGCUAGACCAUUCAAAAAUAACCAAAAUAAAGCUCGCGGUUAUCAGGGAUUUACACUCGGCACUUUCUAGAAAGGGUACAAUUGAAGUCUCCACAUCCAGCAGCAAGACAGUUAGCUAACAAGGAAAACUAUUCAACCUAUCUAAUGUCGCCCUACAAUAUAUAACUGUAAACUAUGUUUUUUAUCUUCUCAAAAUUCUCUCUACUCUUCUGUUGGAAUCUGCGGUUGUUCCUUUCAGUCCAGGUGUUGUAUAUACUAACGUCCUAAGUUGCUCAGACUCUUCAUUUUCGGUGCCUCACCCAUGUCGACAUAAUGUGGGUGUAAGUGUGGGUGUGCGAUCCGUAUUUUGGGUACUUUGACUAAAAUCAAUGGAGAAGUUCAGGUCAGAUAUAAUGAUUUCUGAAAUUGAAACAAAGUAGGGUAAAAUUGAAGAAAACGGCAUACCUUAUAUAUGGAAAUUUCUCUGUCAGUUUUUUUCUUUUUAUCUCCUUUUAGGAUUCUCCUCUUGAUCAAUAUUUUGAACUUCCCGGAAUACCUUGUAAGUUUUCCACAUGAUGUCUUAGAACUUGGGCAUAUUUUUAUAACACUAUGUUUAGAUAUUUGAAUUAUUUUUAGCUGGAUUCUCGCACCCGCAUCCAUAUCCGGAUCUUAAAAUUUAGAUCAUGAGGGAUCUGACCUCUAGAUCAGCACUCAUACUGGACACCCGCAUCCCUGUUCAAGCAACAUAGGACUAGCAACAAAGAGAAACCUCAAUAGAACUCCCUUAGAUCUACUGUUGUUAACUACUUACCUGAGCCAUUUAGUUUUAUCUUCCUAUUUUCAAAGCAUCCCAAUUGCCUACUCAUGCCCAGCCAAUUUAAAAGAGUCUGCCAGAUACUCCUCGAGUAAGAACAAUCGAAGAAUAGAUGAGUAUGUGAUUCCUCAGCAUCAUAAGCACACAACACACAUUCUUAGCCACAUGGACGCCCCAUCUACCCAAUCUAUCCACAGUAGAAAGCCUUCCUUGAAGAGUCAGCCAAUGGAUACGCUGAUGCAUCCUUUAACCAUUGAGAGAGUCUUCGAAGGCACUUUCUGAUAUAAUGGAAGGAAAAAUCCAUAGGCUUUUCUAACUCUGGAAACAGAGUUAGCUGUAAAUGCAUUCAAUGUGAACAGAGAUAGCUUUAAUUGUAUUCAAUGUGUUCAAUACUGAAUUCCCAGAGCUUAGCCACCUUCUGGCAUCCAGAACUUUCUUUACCAUCCUGCUUGCCUGUUUAGGUAUACACAUAGUAUCCAAAUUUUCCGCUUUUUGUAGGAAUUGUGGAUCCACAACACCAAGAGCUUAUCCUUCUUCUUUGCCCCAGCCCAUGGUAACUUACAUAGAAUUUCAAAAUAUCUGGAUAUUUUGAACUUCUUCCUAUUGAACAAAGUUUCCCUAUGUAAGUUACGAUGGGUUGAGAGGAGUCCAAAUGGAGAAACAUGGCCAGUGGGAUUCAUAUAGCUGACCUCGACUUGUUUGGAACUGAGACAUAGUUGAUCCAUUGAAGGUUUAGACCAUUAGCCACACCCUAAUUGAUAGAUAAAAUAAUUUGUAGCAAUUCCUUUUAUUGCUGUUGUUAUAUUUGGGUUUCCGUAAAAUAAUUUAGACCUCGUGUGGAGGAAAUUGGAUGUGUAUUAAUUGAUAGAUAAAAUAAUUUGUAGCAAUUCUUUUUAUUGCUGUUGUUAUAUUUGGGUUUCCGUACAGUUUGCGUGCUAAAUUUACGCAUCAAUUUAAAUUGUUUCACAUAAGCAUCAAUUUAAAUUGUUUCACAUAAGCAUGGAUGUUGUCUUUCAUUCUGUCAUGUUAUAUGGUUAUAAAUUUGGGUACUGACAUAUCAAAUCUUAUCUUUCAGUGUCUUGUGAUGAUGGCAGAGGAGAUAUGAGCUUGGAUACUUCUGAAAGAAAUAUGGUGUCUCUCUUCAUGACGAACCAACCUUGAAUCUUUUCCCUGAGAGAGCAUUUUGUGGAACGAUUGAUCAUCUUGUGCAACUUUUAUCUUAUGCUUUAGUUAAAACAUUAGACGUUAUAGUACCCACGUCCGAAGAGUAUGACUUGAACAUACUGAACUGUGUGAUAGAUUGUUGUUGAAACUUGCUAUUUUGAUGUAAUGUUUUAGGAUUUAAUGCUCAUAGUUUUUGCUGAUCUCUUUUAAUCGUCUGUAUUAUCCGUUUAUGUUCUUUAGACCCAGAUUUUGUUGGGCACACGGUGUUCAGCACUCAAGUGUUCUUGUAAAGUGUAUAAAGAAUUCUAAUUUCACUGCUGCCAUGUUAAGUGAACUGUAAUUUCACUUCAAUUCUUUAAGAGUACUUUGUCCUUACCAAUUAAGCUA
rnacentral:lncRNA from 1 species